GGGUGGACUGGAGAGGGAGACUGCGUCCUUGUUACUUGUCCCAUCCCGAGGAAAGUGGAAAAUGGUCAACAUUCUUGGAAGAGUGACAAUAAACCAAAAUAUAAACAAACGAUACGUUUCUCAUGUAACACAGGAUACAGAUUGAUUGGGCAUGAAACCAUUCAGUGUACUGCAACUACCGAAUAUGAUAAAGGGCCACCACAAUGCAUUGUUGUUACUUGUCCCAUCCCGACUAAAGUUAAAAAUGGUGAACAUUCUUGGAGUAGUGAUGAUAAACCAGAAUAUSAACAAAAGAUACAUUUCUCAUGUAACACAGGACACGCAUUGAUUGGGAAAGAAACCAUUCAGUGUACUGCAACUGGCAAAUAUGAUUAUCGGCAACCACAAUGCUUUGUUUAUUGUCAAAUGCCUGAAGGUGGAAAUAACAUGUUUCUCACUGAUAAAUCCCUCCCAAGAAAGGAUUUCCCAUAUGGUACCAGGCUAACAUAUAAGUGCAGCAAAGGAUAUGAAAAAGCAAGUGGAUCUGAGAUCAUAACCUGCAUGGGUGGGAAUUGGACUGAGCUAGAUUUAAUCU